rnacentral:rRNA from 1 species
UACGAAGGGGGCUAGCGUUGCUCGGAAUGACUGGGCGUAAAGGGCGCGUAGGCGGAUGGCACAGUCAGAUGUGAAAUUCCCGGGCUUAACCUGGGGGCUGCAUUUGAUACGUUGUUGUCUAGAGUGAGGAAGAGGGUUGUGGAAUUCCCAGUGUAGAGGUGAAAUUCGUAGAUAUUGGGAAGAACACCGGUGGCGAAGGCGGCAACCUGGUCCUUGACUGACGCUGAGGCGCGAAAGCGUGGGGAGCAAACAGG